rnacentral:lncRNA from 1 species
UUCAACUCUAUAUAAAGAGCAAUGCAGUGAAUAAAAAUAUACUUUCAGAUACCAACUUUUUUUUCUUUACUGAAAAAGUUUUGUUUUUCCUUUACUGUCAUAUAAUUUCUGCCCUGUUCUUGUGCCAUAUAUCAACACAUUCCUUUAUUUUUGGUUUGAUUGAAAAAUUUUCAAUGUAAAGCAAUGGUAAUAGUAUGUUUUUGUUUGGCUUUGAUUCGCGGGAGUGCGAGCUUUCCAGGCACAUAAUGCUUGAGUUGCUUAGAGGAAUAAGGAAGGAGGAGGAAGAAAAGAUGAGGGUCCAAGCAACAAUGAAGUAAGUUAUAGAUGUGUUUGAUUUUGUAUUAUUGGUGUAGGUUGGUUUAUGUGUGUUUACUGAGAACUGAAAAUGAAAUUUUGGAUGGUUUUUGAAAGGAAUGGUUCUUUAAUUUUAUAUUAUUCUUAUUGUAAGCCAGUCAGAUAAAUGGC